UUUUCCAGCAGCUUAAGCAUAUUCCUUAUAGUACCUCUUUUAUAAUUGUUAUAUUGUUUCUUUAGCAAUUCUAUUUUCUUUUCUAGCACUUAAUUAAUUUUUCGCACAAUAGUUUCUACACCGGGAACUAUUGUGUACCUUUUAACGGAUCUAACCUUACGUUAGAAUCUAGUUUUUUUUAUUCCUUCGUUUUAUUUUU
rnacentral:lncRNA from 1 species